UAUAAACAACGAGACCUCUCCACCACAACCCACUCAGCAGCCACUGGAACACCAACAGCAGCAACAACAACAUCACCAACAGAAGGGGCAAGACAAUUGGCAGCAACAAAGACCACAUCAACAGCAAGGUCAAAGGAAACAGCAUCAAGGUCAAGGUCAUGCGAACCACCGACCUCAUGACUCUGGACCUAAUUUAGACACAGGUGAAUACAAGCUGAAGCACAUGAUAGACUUUGUGAGGAACCUGCCGUGCAAUAAUGUCAAGCCUUUGUCCACGGGGGCAGACAUCUUGGAAGAGGCGUGGUCAAGGCAAUAGAAGAGGAGGUGGACAGAGUUAAUGAGGAAAACAGGAGGAAACAGAAGAAAGUCAAGAUGCAAGUGAAACCUCAUUUGUUGUUCAGACCCCUCAUCAACCAAGACCAGACUGCCACCUACUGGCUGUACGACCGUGUGGUAGCUGUGAAGCUGGGAUACCCCGUCCCCCUUGGAUUGCGGGGACGGUUGUCGGCAUCCACCCUGAUGAGAAGGAGAGCGACAUGCUGUAUGAUGUGGUGUUUGAUGCUGAACUUAUCGGAGGAAUCAAUGUCAGAAGAAUGGUGGGUUUACCAGCAACAAUCCCCAAUUUGUUACACCAAAAGUCACACAAACACAGUUUUCUAAACGAACACCAAACAGAACUCAACAGACAGGAGGAAAGACACAACCUUCCCAAGAUGCAACCAGCAACUCAGAGUUUGCCAACAUGUGGAAGGAGCUGCAGGCCGGCACAGUACAGACAGCGCCAUCAAGUGGCAACCUCCUCCAAGAACCAUCACUCCAAUAGGCAGCACUUGCAUUGGGGCAGAUAACUCCUCCUACAACACGGCACCAGAAGAAACCAGAACUGAGUGGACGUGGUGACAGCGUUAAUGAAUCAGGAGUGGUAGCAGUAAGAAGAUCGAUCUUCAGACUCUGUUUGAUCGUGCUAGCUUGCAGAAGGAAGCCGCGGAGAAAGAUGAGUUCAUUGCCAUGAUGGACUCUCUGAAGUUGUCCUGGAAGACCCAGAAGGAGGAAGAGGUCGUAGGAGGAAUCAAUAGUAAUAAUAAUGCCACGGAACAGGAUGGUAGCUCUGCACUGAAACACAUGCUGAAGAUCGGAUCGGACACUGGUACAACGCCAGUGGGAGGUAGUGCGCCCAGUACUUCAUCACCAACAAAAGCAUAUGGGAAACAGUUAUCAGUGCAGGAACUGUUUGAUGGAGCAGCCACAGUUCAUCAGACAACAAGGAUGUUGAAGACAUGGUUGCAGAAGUCGCGGCUAUGACAAAGCAUACCUGUGACAGUGAGCAGACCGGCCCAUUGUUCAAGUGUCCGUUAUGUGUCUAGACCUAAAAGUCUCAGUCAGGUUUCAGAAGUCAUGUACUGAAGAAGCAUAACAGAAAGGAUUUGAAAGCAGCAGAUCAUCUACAGCUGACAGUAGACCAUGGUGUCUUGCCGAAAGGAGACACAACAAAGCAGCAAACAAGUUGGUUGCCAGAUGAUCUCGAACAAAUUCUUAGAGAAGCGACCUCAGUCACCCUUACCGAGAUGGAAAACAGCCUGUACCACACAAUGCAAGAAUCGGCCCAUGGACAUCAUAUUGUUUUCCUUGCAAAACAAAUUAGUGGUCACUCAAGUGGGGUACUCACAGAGCCACUGUCAACCCAUCUUAAAGAAAUAUUCAGGGACUUUGGCAAAUCCUGAUUCAACAGUUCUGAACGUGAGGCAUUCUUCAAACAAUUACACAAACUGAAAAUGAACUUUGAUGUGCUAGAUUCUGUUGAAGGCGACAUUUGUGACAGCAUUGACCUUGGAAGUAGUGAGACUUUUGUUCCUGUUGUCAUUACGAGUUUUAUUGAUGGUGUUGUCAGUGCUACGAUGAGGCUGCUUUUACAGAGAUGUGAGGAAGACCAAGAAAAGCAGAAUUUUGAACUGAGCAAACAAGAUCAGAGUGUACUGCAUUUGAUUGCAGGAUUUUUUAUCUCUUCUGUCAAGAAAAGUGCUCAACAGGACAAGGAGAAGUUGUCAGCAAUAAGCAAGUUAGUGGAGCCAUCAGAUUCCAAGAAGGAAAACUUUCUCAUCGAUGUAAGGAAGUGGUCACAUAAAAUUGACAGAGGUGGUCUCCAGCAACCUCGACUCUUUCUUUCUCAUUGUCAGACUAUUUGAGACAGAAGCUAGGAAGGCUCCACCAGUGGUUAAAACUGGCAAAAUGGGAAACCAGUCCUUAAGAGAGGCCGUUCUAACCAAUGUUUUGGUGAUUAAGUAUUGGAACUCUCUUGUCGGAGACUCGCACAACAGUAAGUCAACUCUUGGAAGAGAUCGUCCAAAGGUUUCUGAAAGUAAGGUCACAUGCAAUGGCGAGAUAACUGGAGAGAGAGGCGAGUAGAGCUUUGAAAGCUAAGAGAGCGCGCCAAGGAAGAAGUCAAGAUCUCUUUGUGGUUCCCUCAAGGACUAAAACAUUUCUUAAGACACUGCUUUGUUCAGUGACUUUCUGUUUAUGUGACUAUUCAGCUUGAUCAUCAAGUCUUUAUUUUGCACUUAAGAGGCCACAGGCCUCUAGUACAUGUAUACUGACUAUAUUGUUAUUAGGCAGUAGAGAGUACAUUUCUCCUGUGUAAAAAGGCAUGGUAUAGGAACACUUUUCCAGGAACUUUUUCAGGUGUUCCUUGCUAGGGUAGGUUAACAGAGAUAUAAAUUUAUAAAUAUUGUGAUGUACUAAGUAAUAUUUCUUAAUAUACUUAUUUCUUAAAUUGUGGUAGGCUGGACAAACAUGAAAAUCAUAAUCAUCUUCAAUUAGAUUCAAGUCACACAUUUCACAGAUCUAAACCUCCUUUUUUUAUUCCAAUAUAUCUAGUAGUAACUUUCACACCAAGGAAUCUUUUUAUUGCAUAUAAAUGUACUUUUUCUAGUGUUUCAAUGUUUGUAGUCCCCAAACCUUAGAACCAUAUGGAAGUAUGGGACUAUUCAGCUAUUAUGAUAUAUGUUUGAAAUGAUAUGUUACACAAUUAAAAUGUCUCACUGUGUUUCAA